rnacentral:lncRNA from 1 species
UGCUACGUCUCCUUCCUCUUCCUGGGCUGCGACACUGGCCCUGUGGCUGGGGUUACUGUUCCCUAUGGAAACAGCACAGCACCUGGCUCAGCCCUGGACCCCUACUCGCCCUGCAAUAAUAACUGUGAAUGCCAAACCGAUUCCUUCACUCCAGUGUGUGGGGCAGAUGGCAUCACCUACCUGUCUGCCUGCUUUGCUGGCUGCAACAGCACGAAUCUCACGGGCUGUGCGUGCCUCACCACCGUCCCUGCUGAGAACGCAACCGUGGUUCCUGGAAAAUGCCCCAGUCCUGGGUGCCAAGAGGCCUUCCUCACUUUCCUCUGUGUGAUGUGUAUCUGCAGCCUGAUCGGUGCCAUGGCACAGACACCCUCAGUCAUCAUCCUCAUCAGUCAGCCCUGAACUCAAGUCUUACGCUUUGGGAGUUCUUUUUCUCCUCCUUCGUUUGUUGGGCUUCAUCCCUCCACCCCUCAUCUUCGGGGCUGGCAUCGACUCCACCUGCCUGUUCUGGAGCACGUUCUGUGGGGAGCAAGGCGCCUGCGUCCUCUACGACAAUGUGGUCUACCGAUACCUGUAUGUCAGCAUCGCCAUCGCGCUCAAAUCCUUCGCCUUCAUCCUGUACACCACCACGUGGCAGUGCCUG